rnacentral:rRNA from 1 species
AACGAACGCUGGCGGCAGGCUUAACACAUGCAAGUCGAGCGCUCCGCAAGGGGAGCGGCAGACGGGUGAGUAACGCGUGGGAAUCUACCCAUCUCUACGGAAUAACGCAUGGAAACGUGUGCUAAUACCGUAUACGUCCUUCGGGAGAAAGAUUUAUCGGAGAUGGAUGAGCCCGCGUUGGAUUAGCUAGUUGGUGGGGUAAAGGCCUACCAAGGCGACGAUCCAUAGCUGGUCUGAGAGGAUGAUCAGCCACACUGGGACUGAGACACGGCCCAGACUACUACGGGAGGCAGCAGUGGGGAAUAUUGGACAAUGGGCGCAAGCCUGAUCCAGCCAUGCCGCGUGAGUGAUGAAGGCCCUAGGGUUGUAAAGCUCUUUCACCGGUGAAGAUAAUGACGGUAACCGGAGAAGAAGCCCCGGCUAACUUCGUGCCAGCAGCCGCCGUAACAC